AUCAUUGAGGAACACACCAAAUACACCCUGGGCUGUGAAUUAUGUUAACGGAAGUGGAAGUGAACACCAAAGAAAGAAGAUUCUGGCAUUCAAUAAUUUCGAAUAGUGUAUAAAUUUUCUAUAAUCUAAAAAUAAUAAAAUGUCAAC